rnacentral:rRNA from 1 species
AUGACAUCUUCCUCGGCGCCGGCAGCGUCCUACUUCAACUUCUCCGUGGCGCAGGCCGUGGUGACCAUCUCCAUCAACGUCAUCCUCGUCUGGCUCUCCGCCCUCGUCAAGUCCUCCACCUCCUCCUCCUCCUCCGCCAGCCGCCGCUCGGCCGCCCCCGCGCCGGAGCCGGAGCCAGCGCAGCCUGCACCGGCAAGUGGCGCCUCCGAGGUCGACCUGGACGUGGUUCUCGGGGUGAUGGGCGCGGGCGGCGCCGCCUCGGUUGGGUUCGAGGAGGCGGCGGCGCUGUUCGAGGAGGAGGAGGCGACCGUGGAGGAGGCCGCGGCGGCGUUCCGCGUCUUCGACCGCAACGGCGACGGGUUCGUCGACGCCGGAGAGCUCGGGAGCGUGCUGAGGUCGCUCGGGUUCACCGCCGGCGUCGCGGCCGCGGAAUGCCAGCGCAUGAUCGACGCCUAUGACGAGAACAAGGACGGCCGGAUGGACUUCCAGGAGUUCCUCAACUUCAUGGAGAGGAGCAGCUCGUGA